UUAAACCUCUCCAUGUGGAACCUUGUUGGUUUGGCCUGUUCUGUCUGAACGCGAGCCGAGAUUAUACCCCAACAAUCACUACUGAAGUUAACUAUACCAUCUUCAUUUCCUUUGCAUUGCAUAUAAAUAAGAUGCUGAUUUCAUACUUUUUUUUAUUAGAAACCCCAGUCUGUUGGUGGAGAGGUUCCCGUCUGAUACUAAGUAGCUAGAUGACUUUAAGGAAAGUAUUUCAUGGCUCUGUGCCUUGAUUUCUUCAUCUAUAAAAUGAGUUGUAGCAAUACCCACUAGUAGACAUCACUAAUGGGAAGGUAGCUUGUGGAAAUAAAUCAUGAGUGGUGGGAUGGUGACGACACUGAUGAUGACUAUAACGUGACUGUGUAGCCUGUGUAGUUGGUCAGGUAUUUAGAAGGAUUUAGAAGGAUUGCCAAUCUCAGCAUCAGACCUUUUUAUUUCUCAAACACUGAGCUGCCUUUUUAACUCCCUGAGUCAUGUUUGACUCACAGCUAGAUUUUAUAUGUUGCUUCCUGGUUGUUAGGGGCUAGAAUCUGUCUUAAACUACUAGAUUUUCUGUGGUCACUGUUAGAGCUCCCCAUAGCCACCCCCACCCCAUCCAUCCAGUGUGAACCGGUCAUCUGUUAGAGCCUCAGGAAAGUCCAUGGAGAGCCGACUAGAUUUCCAUGGAUACAAGCAAACCUUUUGUCCUGCCGUUUACAUUUCUCUUGAGCAAUCAACUUCGAUUGACAGGAUGCCUGCUAACCUCCUCCUCCCCCUCCUAACUCUUCCACAAAGGGUGCUGAGGCAUAAAAACUCUGGAAACCGGAAUGGCCUGUGAAGUGAAACAGCUCCUGAGCAGAAAGUAUCUUGUGUCAUGAGUCUACGGAUCCAGGGCAGAAAGAAAAAUGAUCAACGCUGCAUCCUGAAAACACACGCUUUCCAUUUUUAUCUCCUUCCGGUUUUUAUCCAUGUAUAGUACCAAUAGCUGUUAAAUCAAAUUUUUACUGCUGUCAAGUGUCCAGCAGACUUGCUAGGAAGUCCAGUGACAUCAGAAUAAAGGCACAGGCUUUGCUGCUAGUCUCUGUGACUUCAGGACUAAAUAAUUGGCCUCUUUUCCUAUCAUAAAUAAAUACUUGGCUUCAGAAGUAGUAAUGAUUUGACAAAUAAUCUUUUCUCUGAAAAUAGUUUUCAAAAUUCAUAUGUCAACAAUUUGAUUACAGAUCAGACAUGAAAAGCUCUUUCACAUCACGUGUGUGUAGGUUUGAGACUGACCAGAUCCAGGGAGCUGAGCACUUGCCCUUGGGAUUUUUGGUGCAGUAGGGGCUCCUCCAUGUAAUCUGAGGGCCUGAGCAAUUUGUAAACCUUAUCACUAUGGACUACAUUAAUACUUCUAAAGUAAAGUACACGUUGAAAA